rnacentral:rRNA from 1 species
ACGGAAGGCAGCAGUGGGGAAUAUUGCACAAUGGAGGAAACUCUGAUGCAGCGAUGCCGCGUGAGGGAAGAAGGUUCUCGGAUUGUAAACCUCUGUCAUCAGGGACGAUAAUGACGGUACCUGAGAAGGAAGCUCCUGCUAACUACGUGCCAGCAGCCGCGGUAAUACGUAGGGAGCGAGCGUUGUCCGGAAUUACUGGGUGUAAAGGGAGUGCAGGCGGGAUUUUAAGUCAGGUGUGAAAACUACGGGCUCAACCUGUAGACUGCACUUGAAACUGAGAUUCUUGAGUGAAGUAGAGGUAGGCGGAAUUCCUAGUGUAGCGGUGAAAUGCGUAGAUAUUAGGAGGAACAUCAGUGGCGAAGGCGGCCUACUGGGCUUUUACUGACGCUCAUGCUCGAAAGCGUGGGGAGCAAACAGGAUUAGAUACCCUGGUA